UACGUAGGGUGCAAGCGUUAAUCGGAAUUACUGGGCGUAAAGCGUGCGCAGGCGGUUAUGUAAGACAGAUGUGAAAUGCCCGGGCUUAACCUGGGAACUGCAUUUGUGACUGCAUGGCUAGAGUUUGGCAGAGGGGGGUAGAAUUCCACGUGUAGCAGUGAAAUGCGUAGAUAUCCGGAGGAAUACCAAAGGCGAAGGCAGUGUCCUGGCUGGUAACUGACGCUCAGGUGCGAAAGCUAGGGGAGCGAACAGG
rnacentral:rRNA from 1 species